ensembl:lncRNA
AAAUCCCUGACCGGAUGUCGCAGGGAGGCUUCUCUCGUGUCUCGUGCUGCUGUUCUGAUUGUUAAAAUGUCUAUCGUCAAUUUUGACAAAUCACCACGCGCAUCAAAGGCAUGGCUUGCUCUGAGACGACUUGACAAAAACGAUGACAGGGUGGUGGCUCUGCGAGAAGUGUCCAUUCCUCCAGCAGCUGAGGUCACCAUGAUCAUACAGAUUAUCAGCACUACCUUUGGCCUGAACUCUUCCGAUGUCAUAUUCAAGAUAAGGAAUCACCGUGGAUGUCUCAUCCCUCUGAACAGCUCGAUCCCUGCUAACAGCAAGCACAUGCCUUAUGUGCUUGAAGUAUCCAAGAUCUUUCAGCAUGUGUGCCCUAAGCCCAGAACCAUUCCCAUGACUGUGAUCAACAAUAGCAUGAAGACCAGGCUACAUAUUAUUGACAGGAGGAUUCAGAGACUGGAGGAGCUUCUGCCACAGAUCAAACUCAGGCGUAACGAAAAACUAAGCCAGGAGAUUGACUGUCUCAACCAGAAGUUGAGGUUUCUUCAUAAGAGAAUGCAGGUGGCAGAUUCUCGCAGCUGGAAAGGGGUGCUGACCAGAGCCCCUCUGUGGUGAAACUGAUUGCAACAUGUCAACAUUUGAGGAUGGAUGAUGAUGAUCUGGAUUUCUACAAAGUUGUUUUCAUAGACCCGUGUGUGCAAGUUGGUUAGGUUUUUAUUACAAUAUAUAUUGAUAUACAUAUAUAUAUAUAUAUAUAUGUAUAUCAAUACCAUGGGGAUGCUUAACCUCAAAGACAUCAUUCCUACCGAGUAUUUUCAAUAGAUUAACUGUUUAUUUAUGGUCUGAAAAAAUAUUUGAUAUAUUCUUUUCUUUCUGGAAAUUGAGUGUGUCAUUAUGCUAUUAAGAAUAACAUAUGUGUAACACUCUUGCGUUGGGACUUACUAGAAUUAAUUGUACCAUGAAAUCAAUGAGAAAGAGUUAGAUUGUCUUUUUUACACAACGUAUUUACCAACGAACAAACUACACAACAUACAUUCGCAUUAGAUUACAGGUCAUUAGCCUUUCUCUCUGAAGGGAGGACAAUACUUAUCUGAACAUCUGUGAACCCGGACUGCUGUAAUAAGCGUAACUGGCUGAAGGACUAAAUUGGAUUAAGUGUGCAUUCCCUGUUUAAAAGUAGCUUCCAGCUGAUUUCCAUGUUCUGUAUUUGUUACAUGUUCCCAUACAACCCAGCAUCUAUCUACUGUCUUAGGUAAUGGCUAACGUAAUCUGUGGAGGUGUUUCACAAUUCAACUGUUAUCAUAUGGAUCCCCUGAUAUACUGCGUCAAAGCCUUUUUAUAUCACUAGUUAAAAAAAUAAAAAAGAAUGAAUAAAAAUAGUUCAAACAGUUAUAUUUGUGUGAAACAAGUCUGUUCUAUUUAUUCAUCUUAAAUCUUCUCGUACAACAUUCACAUCAAAAUGAACAAAUAUACACAUUUCAUAUAAGUAUAAAAAAGUAAAGAAUGAAACAGAAAACAAGAAAAUAUUACAUAUAUUCACAUUUACAUUCAUUACUGUUGGUAAUUACUGGAUAUCAUUCUAUUAAGAUAAAAACGUUAAAUAUUUACUUGCGUAUUUACACUGUUUUUAUCGUUACUUAAAACACCAAAAUAACAAUCACAUCUCUGAUGCACUGUUGUAAAUCAACUCAUACUAUCACAAUAAAAACAGAAUACAAACAAAAUACAAACCUACAGUAUAACUGCUUAAAGCAGCUCAAUCAUUGCUGUGUGGUUAUAUUCUGAUAACUCCCGCUGCUUCAACAAGGUUCACGCUGGAUCCGAUGCUCUACCCUGGAGACGGUGAGGACGGCAGGGGGAGACAGAAGUUAGUAGGGUUGUUCUAAAAUAUUAAAUAUUCUUCAGUUACUUUGGUAUUUUAAUCUCAAAGUCAGAAAUCAAAAUUGGUUUAUUUUAUUAUUAUUAUGAUUUUUUUCUUGCCACCUCCUACAGCACAAUCUUGUCUGUUACUUUUUUAGAUGUUUAGGAUUUAGCUGUCUGGCAAAGAUUUUGAGUUUGUACAGAUCCAGGUUUCUUUAUUAGUACCCUAUCAAACAUUUGUUGUGCAGAUGGGCGAUUCAGCAUUCCCAGAGAAAACAAGACAGUGUGUCUUUUUUAUAGAGGGUCUGAGGUUUAAAUGAUUGGUUUAUAAAUACAUUUAAACACAUCUAAAUCUCUUUCUAGAAACACUAGAAACACCUUCCCCAUUGCUCUAGAAGACAAUCCACCGAAAACACUUUCAUGUAUGUUCAUAAUUACUCAUUUUUAUUGGAUUAAAAUUAAUUAAAUUAAAGACAAUGGAUUAAAAAAGACAAUGCCUCGAUUUGACCCUUUAAUUAGUACAAGAUUACAUAUCUCUUUCCAGGAAACUUCAUAGGAAAUUGUUUUUAUUAAAUAUAAGGAAAUUAUAGACCCAUAAAAUAAAGCUUUACAGCUUUUGUUAUCAAAUCAUGGCUACACAUUUCUGUGCUUUCUUGGUCUGUGCAUUGUAGUGGUAACUGUACCUCGUUGCUGUCCUCCAGAGCUUGCAUAAUAGCUGCCACCACCAGGUUUACAAGCACAAACUGGGCCAUGAUUACAAAGGUGGAGAAAAAGAUGGGGGAGACCCAGGACAAGUAGCUCAAACAGCCAUUGACGACACUCCCUCAAAGUGUCCUUGAGAAGCACAGAGCAAGAUUCAGAAAGGAAGAGGGACUGGCACACAGACUGAUAACACAUUCAUUAUUAGGGGAUAUUAUAUGUAUAGAGCUUGUGUGAAUCAGCAUGAAUGAGUGUGUGCAUACCUUCAUUGUCCCGCUCCAGUUGUCUCCAGUGCACACUUGUACAGCGUGAGCAGGGCCAUCCCAAAGUGUUUAAAGUUGGCAUGUCGAUGUAAACCCAGGUACGGGUAAUC